UACAGAGGUGGCAAGCGUUGUUCGGAAUUACUGGGCGUAAAGGGCGAGUAGGCGGCCUUCUAAGUCAGACGUGAAAUCCCCCGGCUUAACCUGGGAACUGCGUCUGAUACUGGGAGGCUAGAGUAUGGGAGAGGGAUGUAGAAUUCCAGGUGUAGCGGUGAAAUGCGUAGAUAUCUGGAGGAAUACCGGUGGCGAAGGCGGCAUCCUGGACCAUUACUGACGCUGAAUCGCGAAAGCUAGGGGAGCAA
rnacentral:rRNA from 1 species